UCAAGGAUGAGCUUCAAGGGUAAAGAAUCUCUAAAUCCUUUAUUCCCUUUAAUGUUGUUAAAGAGUUUGUUGGUUCACCAUUCACUAGGCUUUGAAAGUCAUGGGUUUUAUGAAUUGUUUUGAAUGCAUGCCUACUUUAAUGUGUUAAUAGUUUGCAUAUGUAUUCAAAUAUUCUCACAUGUUCUUAGCUAGGACAAAAUUUUUCCUUCAGUUGGUGCCAAAGUCCCGAGGUGCGGUUAACAUGAUUAGCUAGGUGAGGGUUUUGGUUUAGUGUGAGGUAGAAGAGCCCAUUAAAAUGCUUGCUUAGGCCAAU
rnacentral:lncRNA from 1 species